UGACCCUGGACUUUCUUUGUUGUUGGGAGUUUUUAAAUCACAGAUUCAAUUUCAGUACUUGUUGUUGGUCUAUUCAUAUUUUUUAUUUCUUCCGGGUUCAACUUUGGGAGAUUGUACCCUUCUAUGAAUUUUUCUAUUUCUUCUAGGUUGUCCAUUUUAUUGGCGUAUAGUUGUCUGCAGUAGUUAGUCUCUUAUCGUCCUUUGUAUUUCUCUGCUGUCUGUUGUAACUUCUCCUUUUUCAUUUCUAAUUUUAUUGAUUUGUGUCCUCUUCCUUUUUUUCUUAAUGAGACUGGCUAAAGGUUUCUUCAAUUUUAUCUAUCUUUUCAAAGAAACAGCUUUUAGUUUUAUUGAUUUUUCUAUUUUUACUUCAUCUCUUUCAUUUACUUUGGCUUUGAUAUUUAUG